GCUUUGGAUAUAAAAGGAAGCAUGCAACCUGAUGAAAAUUUAUGGGACCAUUCCUCUUUGACUUCUAUCUUCCUUCUGGUUAGCCUUGAAAGUCUCCAGCCUCUUGACACUACUCCAACCUUUCUGCUUAGCUGGGCCAGAGCAUACAGUCUUCCAGGAAAAGGUGCAGGAUGAUAAAUACUCCAUACCACUUCAGUGAAUGGAUAACCAUCUAAACAAAUACACUUGGAAGGAAAUUUUCCAGUAAGUUUCACUGACUAUGUACUUGGAAUCUGCCUACUUAGAGGCCCACACAUUCUGAAUAUUAUCAGCACGUUGGCAUGGAGGUAAGUGUGGGCAAUCGGAAAGGGGAAGAAGCAGAAGAUUGAGAUAACAUUUUAUCUCCCAGUGACCAUGGGCUUUUCUCUCCUAAAACUGGCUCAAAGCCUUGACAUAUCAAGUCAUCCCACAGAAAGGGGAGAAAAUAAAAGCCUGACAGGUGGAUCCUAUCUGCUGCA
rnacentral:lncRNA from 1 species